CCUACGGGAGGCAGCAGUGGGGAAUUUUGGACAAUGGGCGCAAGCCUGAUCCAGCAAUGCCGCGUGAGUGAAGAAGGCCUUCGGGUUGUAAAGCUCUUUUGUCAGGGAAGAAACGGUAGAGGCUAAUAUCCUUUGCUAAUGACGGUACCUGAAGAAUAAGCACCGGCUAACUACGUGCCAGCAGCCGCGGUAAUACGUAGGGUGCAAGCGUUAAUCGGAAUUACUGGGCGUAAAGCGUGCGCAGGCGGUUUUGUAAGUCUGUCGUGAAAGCCCCGGGCUCAACCUGGGAAUUGCGAUGGAGACUGCAAGGCUUGAAUCUGGCAGAGGGGGGUAGAAUUCCACGUGUAGCAGUGAAAUGCGUAGAGAUGUGGAGGAACACCGAUGGCGAAGGCAGCCCCCUGGGUCAAGAUUGACGCUCAUGCACGAAAGCGUGGGGAGCAAACAGGAUUAGAUACCCUGGUAGUCCACGCCCUAAACGAUGUCUACUAGUUGUCGGGUUUUAAUUAACUUGGUAACGCAGCUACGCGUGAGUAGACCGCCGUGGGNGGUACGGUCGUCGAGAGUUAAACGUUAAAGUUAGUUAAGUUAGUACGGCGUUGAGACGUUGCCGACGGACGACGACGAGGGAGGAGG
rnacentral:rRNA from 1 species